rnacentral:rRNA from 1 species
GCUUAUGGCCAUACUAACCUGGCUAUGCCCGAUCUCGUGUGAUCUCGGAAGCUAAGCAGGUUUGGGCCUAGUUAGUACUUGGAUGGGAGACCGACUGGGAAUACCAGGUGCUGUAAGCU